AGAGUUUGAUCAUGGCUCAGGAUGAACGCUAGCUACAGGCUUAACACAUGCAAGUCGAGGGGCAGCAUGGUCUUAGCUUGCUAAGGCCGAUGGCGACCGGCGCACGGGUGAGUAACGCGUAUCCAACCUGCCUUACACUCUUGGACAGCCUUCUGAAAGGGAGAUUAAUACAAGAUGUUAUCAUGAGUAAGCAUUUUCGCAUGAUUAAAGGUUUACCGGUGUAAGAUGGGGAUGCGUUCCAUUAGAUAGUAGGCGGGGUAACGGCCGCCUAGUCUUCGAUGGAUAGGGGUUCUGAGAGGAAGGUCCCCCCANAUUGGAACUGAGACACGGUCCAAACUCCUACGGGAGGCA
rnacentral:rRNA from 1 species